GACGAACGCUGGCGGCGUGCCUAAUACAUGCAAGUAGAACGCUGAAGGGAGGAACUUGCUCUUCUUGGAUGAGUUGCGAACGGGUGAGUAACGCGUAGGUAACCUGCCUUGUAGCGGGGGAUAACUAUUGGAAACGAUAGCUAAUACCGCAUAACAAUGGAUGACACAUGUCAUUUAUUUGAAAGGGGCAAUUGCUCCACUACAAGAUGGACCUGCGUUGUAUUAGCUAGUAGGUGAGGUAAUGGCUCACCUAGGCGAAGAUACAUAGCCGACCUGAGAGGGUGGUCGGCCACCAUGGGAAUGAGACAAGGCCCAGAAUCCUACGGGAGGCAGCAGUAGGGAAUCUUCGGCAAUGGGGGCAACCCUGAACGAGCAACGCCGCGUGGGUGAAGAAGGUUUUCGGAUCGUAAAGCUCUGUUGUAAGUAAAGAACGAGUAUGAGAGUGGAAAGUUCACACUGUGACGGUAGCUUACCAGAAAGGGACGGCUAACUACGUG
rnacentral:rRNA from 1 species